UCCCUGGUGGUCCAGUGGCUAAGACUCAGCACUCCAAAGAACAGGGAACCCAGGUUCAAUCCCUGGUCAGGGAA
rnacentral:tRNA from 1 species